rnacentral:rRNA from 1 species
UACGGAGGGAGCUAGCGUUAUUCGGAACUACUGGGCGUAAAGCGCACGUAGGCGGCUUUGUAAGUAAGAGGUGAAAGCCCAGGGCUUAACCCUGGAAUUGCCUUUAAGACUGCAUCGCUAGAAUCGUGGAGAGGUAAGUGGAAUUCCGAGUGUAGAGGUGAAAUUCGUAGAUAUUCGGAAGAACACCAGUGGCGAAGGCGACUUACUGGACACGUAUUGACGCUGAGGUGCGAAAGCGUGGGGAGCAAACAGG